rnacentral:rRNA from 1 species
AUGGGAUUUAGAGACCCGCAAUGUUUUAUUAAGGCAAUGUUAGCUAAACAAGUUUGGAGAAUUUUAUCAGACCCAGAAAGCCUUUGCGCCAGAGAGUUGAGGAGUAAACACUUCCCAAAUGGAGAUAUUAUGAAAGCAAAAAUGAAGAAGGGCUCAUCAUUCACAUGGCAGAGCAUCUUGGCGGGAUUACAUACUUUUAACAAGGGAGCUAUCUGGAGAGUAAGGGACGGGAGGGAAAUUGAUAUAUGGGAGGAUGUGUGGAUCCCACAAAACUCAAAUAGAAAGGUACUAACACCCAGAGGUCAGGCACUAAUUCGGACUGUUGACCAGCUUAUUGAUCCAAUUAGUGGUGCUUAGGACGAAGAACUAGUACGGUCCAUUUUCUGGCCUAUAGAUGUGGAACACAUCCUUGCGAUCCCCUUAAGUCAGCACGAAAUGGAAGAUUUCGUGGCUUGGAGGUUUAAUAAAAACGGUCUUUUCUCAGUUAGAUCGGCAUAUCAUGUGGAAUGGGAAUCUCAAUUUGGAAGCAAAAUUGAACUGGAAAGACCAGGAUCUGUUAAUUGUACUAAAGUAUGGGAGGAGCUAUGGUCUUGCAAAUUGCCGGCAAAAAUAAAUUUUUUUGGGCGGAAGUGCUUACAUGGGAUCCUGCCUUGCUAUGGGGUUCUAGCAAACAGGCAUGCCACAAAAGUUAGCUCUUGUCCAAUAUGUUCUGGGUCUUGUGAAGAUAUAAAACAUACUUUAUUUCAUUGUCUACAUGCUCGAGAAAUUUGGAAGAGAAUGGGACUAUGGGAAAUUGUU